rnacentral:rRNA from 1 species
ACUUUCGAUGGUAGGAUAGAGGCCUACCAUGGUGGUAACGGGUAACGGGGUGUUAGGGCACGACACCGGAGAGGGAGCCUGAGAAACGGCUACCACAUCCAAGGAUGGCAGCAGGCGCGCAAAUUACCCAAUCCCGACACGGGGAGGUAGUGACAAUAAAUAACAAUACGGGGUUCUUUCGGAUUUCGUAAUUGGAAUGAGUACAAUUUAAAUCUCUUAGCGAGGAACAAUUGGAGGGCAAGUCUGGUGCCAGCAGCCGCGGUAAUUCCAGCUCCAAUAGCGUAUAUUAAAGUUGCUGCAGUUAAAAAGCUCGUAGUUGAAUUUCGGGACCAAUAUGUCGGUCGUGCCUCGGUACGUACUGGCAUCGUUGGUUUCUCCCUUCUGACGAACCAUGAUGUCAUUCAUUUGGUGUCGUGGGGAAUCAGGACUGUUACUUUGAAAAAAUUAGAGUGUUUAAAGCAGGCUCACGCUUGAAUACAUUAGCAUGGAAUAAUGAAAUAGGACGUUUGAUUCUAUUUUGUUGGUUUCUAGGAUCGACGUAAUGAUUAAUAGGGAUAGUUGGGGGCAUUAGUAUUCAAUUGUCAGAGGUGAAAUUCUUGGAUUUAUUGAAGACUAACUACUGCGAAAGCAUUUGCCAAGGAUGUUUUCAUUAAUCAAGAACGAAAGUUAGGGGAUCGAAGACGAUCAGAUACCGUCGUAGUCUUAACCAUAAACUAUGCCGACUAGGGAUCGGAUGAUGUUAAUUUUUUAAUGACUCAUUCGGCGCCUUACGGGAAACCAAAGUGUUUGGGUUC